CGUCUGCGGGGGUCGGGGAUGUUUCCCCUUAGAGAUCCGCACUGAAGCCGCCACGGAGCAGAACCAUCUCCGCUGGAAGAGGGAAAUUCCCUCUCGUGGACUCCCUCCAGGCUCCCAUAUUUAUGGAGAUUCCAGCGAGCACUCCACCCUACUCCUUCUCAGUGCAAGAGCUGACACGGAACCUCACACGGCGGUCACGUGGGCGAGUGCCGCAUCUCAGCUGUGGAGCAGGGACUGGAAAACGGCAGCCGCGGCUCUCCCCGCUGCCCCUGCCUGGCUCACAGGCGUGUGUUUCACUGGUCACGGCAACAACCGGUGCGGGACAGACGUGUGUUUGUGUAGGCAGAGUCCUCAAAAUGUCUUGGUAGGACAGCGUGUGGGAAUUGCAUAGGAGGAGCGAGGUGAUUCUCGGAAAGCAAGAGGAAGUUGUGAGCAUGCUUGUGUUCUCGACAAGUAACUGGACAGGGCUGGGCUGGAGCACUACUAGAGCACAGUGUGUGCGGGUUCCCUGCCUGCGGUUGGCACUCCGCUCCUUUGCCUCUGUACCGGUGGAGUUCUGCAGACCGAAAGUAUGACCAAGUGGCCAGGAUGGGGAUUUUAUUUCUGAAUCUUAAAAACAACAGUUCUGCGUUUUGGCUAAAUGUCAGAUAAGGCUCUAUAUUAAGCUCUGCUUUACACAGUUGAUUUCUUAAGAGUAGGACUUUCACUUACCUUUAAAACUGUGCAAUAUAAAGAGCUGUUACGUUUAUACAGUGAAGUUUUACCUAUAGCACUGGUUUAUGGCUUCUUAUUGCCCUUUCUUGCGGCCUAAGAUACACUCUGAGGUUUGUUACAGCAACGUCUGUUAUCUUAGAUGCUGAUUUAACACUGGGGUGUUUUUUUUGUUUGUUUUUCCCCCCCUCCCCCCUUUCUCAACCGUUCUGGUGUGUUCCAUCUACUCCAACAUUUAAAGAAUUUCACUCACUUUCACUUGGAACGUUUCGGGGAUGUUUGAGAAAGGAGCUGAAAAAAGCAAUGUUCAGAAUGGUAUUGAGUAGAGCAGGGCUCACAAGAAUUUGCUGCCUGGGACAGGAGAGGAGAUCGCUGAUCUGAGCAUGAAGGAGAAUAUAACCUUCAUUUUUAAUCUCCCUGGGGAUACUUUGUUGCAAUAUGCAGAUACAGAGGAGUUCGUUUUUGUAACAAGUGUGGUAAAGCUCAGGUUUGCCGUGUAUUCCAAUACACAGUGCUUCUCCAUCGUAUCUGUUUUUAUUUUUUAUCAUUAUUGCCUUGGGAAGCAAUAGGAGAGCUUGGGAGCUGUACAUGAACACAGAUGGUAUGAUAGCACAGUGUUUGCUGCAACUUGCUUCAAGUUAUGUUUGAGAGUUCAUUUUUAACACAAGCUUUAAACCUUUAUUUUGUAGAAAAUUCUCUUUGAAAUGGCAACCACCCAAAUAUAGAAUAUACACUUUCAGAGGUACUUGAAUGUUUUGUGGUAACACGAUAAAAAAAUUAAGUGGCACUGGGAAAAUAAUAAUUCUUGGAAGCGCAUAAAAAAUUCUUGCAGGAGUGUAUGUCAGAUGAAGCAUAGGUAAACAUCUCUUUUUGGUAUCUCCAGGAGGUGUAGGAGAACCCCCUGUGAAGCAGGCUGCGGCACUGGAGGCAGCGUUAGUAUUUUUGCAGAAGGCAAACAUCGGCCUUUCCAUUCACUUUGUUCCAUUAUUUCUGGUUUUGGAGUGAAUAGAACAUUGCCCGCAACACCCCUAAUAGCCACUAAGCAUAGUUUUGUUUGCUAACAGCCCCAUGCGUCGAUAGGCUCUGCACUCAUUCACCUUCAAGUGGGCUAUUUUUGCCAAACACCAUUUCCACUUCUCUGGUUUUCACUAACGCUGCCAUUUGAAAGCGACCCAAGGAAUUAGGCAUUACUCACCUUUGCAUAUGCCGCCUCUUGAACAGAUAUUCUCCUGCUGUCUGCUAUUCUUGUAUUUCCUGCACUUUACCCCUGGUGUGGAAUGCUAGUUUUUGUCUUCUUGCUGCCGUUUUGACCAAGGAAUUCAGCCUCUUAAAAAGAAACGCUUUAAGCAGUUUCCCUUUUCUUCAGCAGCAUUUUCUGUGCUGCCUUCCACGCAGCUCUUUGUUCGGUGACUUGCACUUUCACUAUCUCAGGCUGUCAGGCAUACUUGUCAGCAGCUGGGAGCUUGAACUCAUUUGUGGAGUUAGACACAUUAGCAUAUAAAAGAAAACUUAGUGCUGCACCACUUUCAAGCAGGAGAAUUUGGGCCAAGGAUUUAGCAACGGACAUCUGAAGAACUCAGAAAAAGCAAGGGAUGGGGAAAACAGAACAAAGGAAGAGGCUGGCUCCCUUUCACAGCAACCUUCUUUUAGAGCUCCUCAGCAGACACUUCCCACUUGUGUGCUGUGACACUUGAGGCCAUCUGACCCCUGAAGCAGAAGUCUGGGCAAUUACAGAUGGUGCUGGCUGUUCUGAGAGCUGAGCUGUGCACAGGCAGCUCUGUCCCUGCAUGUGCCAUGGCCGGGCAAUGCCUUGCAUGAAGCCCUGGGAUGAGUCUUCCUGGCCAGUGCAGGAUGAUAUGUGCAGGACUCCUACUGUUGGGCAAGGCCUGGGACUGCAGUGCUCACUCUCAUCUCCAGAUUCUCCUUCCACAUCCUUGCAAGCCAAAAAAGUCUUCUAACAGAGAAAGCAGAACUUGAAUCUUCCAUGCAAAAGUCCUGCUUGGAUCUCUGUUCGCAGGCUGCUUUCCUUCCUGUCCUCUUUACAUGGAAGGCUGCUGUGUAAUGUUAUUUAUUAACAACCCACAGGGAAUGCAGCAGGAUUAGUUAUAAUUUUGCUUGUAUUCUUAAAUACAUUGCACCUGAUUUCACCGCCCCUGGUAGAUGCUAGGAAUUCAGCCUUGUGGUGCUGGUCAGCAGGGUGAAUGCUUUAUCUCUAGGCUCUCAGUACCCCCAGAAUGUCUGUCUGUCCCCUGACGUAGAUCCUAACUCUGGGCACUCCCAGCCGUGGGUCCAUGCCAGCCCCCCAGUAACAGGGCCAACAGAAAGAGAAGUGUGCAUAGGAUUCUAACAUCCAAAUUUCAGCAGUUUUUGCAUGGAUAUAAGGAGCUCUAAGCAGAACUGACAGGUUCAGGGGCCUGGACCUGCGUCACCCUCAGUCAUUCCUGGCCAGGGACAAACCAUGCCAACAGCCAUCACAGAAUCGCCCAACGCUGUGUGGCAGAGACCUCAGUGUGACCCAGGAGAUGUAUUUGUAGCACAGCCAAUCUCUUUUCAAUCACGGAGUCAUCCUUCCUUCCACGCCUCCAUGUCACUUGUUUCAACAGUGGCAGUGUUUCUCCAACACGAGGAAAUAAACAUGUGUAAUAGAAUUAUGAUUUUUUUAGUUUAUCUAACCAAAGCAUUUUUAGGAGCUGGAUAACAGAGUAGAAUGCCAGUCCCAAAAUUGUAACUUUUAAUGUUGGGUGAAAAAUUAAACCUUUAAAAUAGAUAUUAAAUUUGAGAGAGGCUGAAAAAGUUCUGUUGGAACUUGGAGGAGUUUCAAACGUUAUUUUUAACCAUAGACAUUCAGCUCUUAUGGGAAACAAAACUUAGAAGGACAGAUAUAAUUAGGUCAGAUAUUGAGAAACUUAUUAUGCUUUGCUACAGAUGAUCCCAGGAGAAUGUAACUUAAGCCCUUUUUUUGUAUUAAGAUUCAAUCAUGGUUCUUCACUUUUUUAUGCAGAGUUCUGUUCAAAGAAUAAAAUAAAGUAGGAUAGAAAUAUGCUUUGUAUUGCUAAGUGCUUCAGCAUGUGAAGCAAUGAAUGUUUGACAAGAAAUCUAGGGACAGAAGGCAAGAUUUGUAUUUCAUUUUGUACCAAAAUACAUAACAUUAUGCUAGCAUCUGUGCCUGCUUUUGUUCACUGUGUAGAAACGCCGGUACACUGAUGGCACUGGUAUCUGCUGGGAUGCUUGGCAUCUCCAAAGCACCACCGUGUGAGAAUGAACUCUGCCUAGCAGCAUGACUA